rnacentral:misc_RNA from 1 species
AAGACUAUAGACCUGCGGAGUACCUGCGGAGGGAUCAUUACCGAGUUAGGGUUUCCUCCAAGGAGCCCGACCUCCCAACCCUUUGCUUAACCUUACCUUGUGUUGCUUCGGCGGGCCCGUCUCUACGACCGCCGGGGGACCGUCAAACGUCCUCUGGCCCGUUGCCCGCCGGUGGCCAAUACCUAUAAACUCUGAACUAAGCGUGUCUUUGUCUGAGUAACAUGACCUAAAAUCAUAAAC